rnacentral:hammerhead_ribozyme from 1 species
AUCCAGCUGACGAGUCCCGCAUAGAACGAAACACGCGUCCUGGAC